rnacentral:lncRNA from 1 species
UAGAAGUCCUCUACCAAGUCUAACACAUAUUCCCAACGAAUAGGUAUCAUAUAUAUAUGGAUUUUUUUCCUUCUAUUGUGCUCUAUCUUUAACUAAUUCUACUUUAAUUCCAAGGAUCUGUAAGUCUUUCAAGACAACUUCUUUCCAUAUGAUAUUAGGUGUACCCAUCCCCUUUUAACACCUUCCCCCACUAUGCUUUCACACCUAAAGGUCAAUGCUUCUGUAGGUCAACACGGGACAUAAACAAACCAUCUCAAGCAACAUUCUCUCAUUUAUCCUCAAUGCGUUCUUCUUGCACCUUCUAGCGAAGGUGAUCAUUUUUAAUCUUAUCUAAUCUUGUGUGACCACACAUCCAUCUUAGCAUUCACAUUUCUGCAACUCAUCUUGAGAAUAUGCCUUUAGCAGUCCAACAUUCAUUACCAUAUAACACAGUCAGUCUUAUUGUUGUUCUAUAGAACUUACCUUUCCCCUUGGUAAGCAUCAUUCUAUCACAUAACACUCU